rnacentral:rRNA from 2 species
UGGUAAUGCCGGAUGCUCCGACUCCUCGCAUGGGGUGUCGGGAAAGAUUUCAUCGGUAUGGGAUGGGGUCGCGUCCUAUCAGGUAGUCGGCGGGGUAACGGCCCACCGAGCCUACGACGGGUAGCCGGCCUGAGAGGGCGACCGGCCACAUUGGGACUGAGAUACGGCCCAGACUCCUACGGGAGGCAGCAGUGGGGAAUAUUGCACAAUGGGCGCAAGCCUGAUGCAGCGACGCCGCGUGCGGGAUGACGGCCUUCGGGUUGUAAACCGCUUUUGAUCGGGAGCAAGCCUUCGGGUGAGUGUACCUUUCGAAUAAGCACCGGCUAACUACGUGCCAGCAGCCGCGGUAAUACGUAGGGUGCAAGCGUUAUCCGGAAUUAUUGGGCGUAAAGGGCUCGUAGGCGGUUCGUCGCGUCCGGUGUGAAAGUCCAUCGCUUAACGGUGGAUCUGCGCCGGGUACGGGCGGGCUGGAGUGCGGUAGGGGAGACUGGAAUUCCCGGUGUAACGGUGGAAUGUGUAGAUAU